UCUCCGGCCGCGGCCAAAGCAGCUCCCGCCGCCCAGAGCCACAGGGAGGCGCCUGCGCACUGCGCGCCGCGGUGGGGGCGGGGGCGUCCCGCCGAGGUCUGGGAUCCCGGGAUGAGCUGCACGUGGAGCUCAGGACAGGAACUCCGCCGUGGGCAGUGCCUCACUUCAAGCGGGCAACUAACGGCGCAGUGAGGACACGCCUUACCUGGGUAUCCUGGGGUGUUGGUCCAACGAGCCCCGGAGUUGUAUUCUGUGCGCUCCGCCAAGGCCUCGGUCCCAGUGUAACGCGGGAUGCUGAUUCCCCGUUCUAGGUUCUGCUCUACAAUUACUCGAGGAUCCUACUGGCCUUCGUCGGGAGACACGGGUUCGAUCCCUGGUCUGGGAAGAUCCCACAUGCUGUGGAGCAAAUAAGCCCGUGCGCCACAACUACUGAGCCUGUGCUCUAGAGCCCGUGCUCCGCAACAAGAGAGACCACCACAAUGAGAAGCCUGCGCGCAGCAACGAAGACCCAAUACAGCCAAUAAAUUUAAAAAGUAAAUUUUAAAAAAUAAAAUAAAAUAAAUAAAGAUGGAAAUGAGACCCAGGGAAGCUAAGUUGUUUUAAGUGCAGAUAGUUUAAAAAACAGAA